rnacentral:rRNA from 1 species
UACGGAGGGUGCAAGCGUUAUUCGGAAUGACUGGGCGUAAAGCGCAUGUAGGCGGUUUGCUAAGUCUGAUGUGAAAGCCCUGGACUCAAUCCAGGAAGUGCAUUGGAUACUGGCAGACUAGAGUGUAGGAGAGGAGAGCGGAAUUCCAGGUGUAGAGGUGAAAUUCGUAGAUAUCUGGAGGAACAACAGAGGCGAAGGCGGCUCUCUGGACUACAACUGACGCUGAGAUGCGAAAGCGUGGGGAGCAAACAGG